AUUGAACGCUGGCGGCAUGCUUUACACAUGCAAGUCGAACGGUAACAGCACUUCGGUGGCUGACGAGUGGCGAACGGGUGAGUAAUACAUCGGAACGUGCCUAGUAGUGGGGGAUAACUACUCGAAAGAGUAGCUAAUACCGCAUGAGAUCUAAGGAUGAAAGCAGGGGACCUUCGGGCCUUGCGCUACUAGAGCGGCUGAUGGCAGAUUAGGUAGUUGGUGGGAUAAAAGCUUACCAAGCCGACGAUCUGUAGCUGGUCUGAGAGGACGACCAGCCACACUGGGACUGAGACACGGCCCAGACUCCUACGGGAGGCAGCAGUGGGGAAUUUUGGACAAUGGGCGCAAGCCUGAUCCAGCAAUGCCGCGUGCAGGAUGAAGGCCUUCGGGCUGUAAACUGCUUUUGUACGGAACGAAAAGCCCUCUUCUAAUACAGGAGGGUCAUGACGGUACCGUAAGAAUAAGCACCGGCUAACUACG
rnacentral:rRNA from 1 species